rnacentral:rRNA from 1 species
UACGUAGGGUGCAAGCGUUAAUCGGAAUUACUGGGCGUAAAGGGCGCGUAGGCGGUCUGGUCAGUCCCUUGUGAAAUCCCCCGGCUCAACUGGGGAACUGCACGGGAAACAGCCGGGCUUGAGUUCGGGAGAGGGAAGCGGAAUUCCGGGUGUAGCGGUGAAAUGCGUAGAUAUCCGGAGGAACACCGGUGGCGAAGGCGGCUUCCUGGACCGAUACUGACGCUGAGGCGCGAAAGCGUGGGGAGCAAACAGG